GACGAACGCUGGCGGCGUGCUUAACACAUGCAAGUCGAACGGAAAGGCCCUGCUUUUGUGGGGUGCUCGAGUGGCGAACGGGUGAGUAACACGUGAGUAACCUGCCCUUGACUUUGGGAUAACUUCAGGAAACUGGGGCUAAUACCGGAUAGGAGCUCCUGCUGCAUGGUGGGGGUUGGAAAGUUUCGGCGGUUGGGGAUGGACUCGCGGCUUAUCAGCUUGUUGGUGGGGUAGUGGCUUACCAAGGCUUUGACGGGUAGCCGGCCUGGGGGGGUGAACGGCCACAAUGGGACGGAGAAUCAGCCCAGGAUCCUACGGGGGGCAGCAGGUGGGAAAUUUGCACAAAGGGCCGAAACCUGAAGCAACAAAGCCGCGUUCGGGAAGACGGCCUUCGGGGUUUAAAACGCUUUCAGCUGUGACGAAGGCUUGAUGACGGUAACUGGGUAAAGAUGAACGGCUAACUACGGG
rnacentral:rRNA from 1 species